rnacentral:sRNA from 1 species
CCGCCCGUCACACCAUGGGAGCCGGUAAUACCCAAAGUCGGUUUAGCUAACUACGGAAGCGACUGCCUAAGGUAGGAUUGGUGACUGGGGUGAAGUCGUAACAAGGUAUCCCUACGAGAACGUGGGGAUGGAUCACCUCCUUUCUACGGAGUACAUAAGCUGCAAAGAGCAGCUAUAAUAUGACAUUUGGCACAAAUCUUCCCAAUUAAUUUUGGUUGAAGUCUGUGUGUUGGCGUUGCCAAAGCGCAUCUAAUAUUCAGUUUUGAGGGUUCUACCUCAAAAUUAGUUCUUUGAAAACUGAAUAGCAUAAAUUAAUAUGAUAACGACAUCAAAAUAUGUAAAUAAUUUUGAUCCGAGUUGAGUUCAAUAAUUUGAACUCUAUAAAUACCUUAAGAUACACAUCAAAUUUCAAUAGGAAAUUAGAAAAAAAAUAAUAAUACGAUUACUUAUAUUUACUUUUAAAUAUUUAAGAGUUUGUAGUGGAUGCCUUGGGUCUGGAAGUCGAAGAAGGACGUGAUUACCUGCGAUAAGCUUUGUCUAGUUGGAAAUAAACUAUGAGACAGAGAUCUCCGAAUGGGGAAACCCAGUGCGAUUAAUCUUGCAUUACUACCUUGUGAAUAUAUAGCAAGGAAAGAGACAUACGUUGUGAAUUGAAACAUCUUAGUAGCAACAGGAAAAGAAAAUAAAUAAUGAUUCCGUCAGUAGCGGCGAGCGAACGCGGAAGAGCCCAAACCAAUUUAUUGGGGUUGUAGGACUGCUUACACGGAGUUACAAAAUUAAUGUAUAGAAGAACAAGUUGGGAAGCUUGGACAUAGAGGGUGAUAUCCCCGUAUUCGAAAUGCAUUAAUCUCUUAGCAGUAUCCUGAGUAGGGCGGGGCACGUGAAACCCUGUCUGAAUCCGCCGGGACCACCCGGUAAGGCUAAAUACUAACCAGACACCGAUAGUGAACUA